ensembl:lncRNA
GGAGAGGCGUAGGGCUGCUCGCCGCUGGGGCCGGCCUUCCCGCCUCGUUCCUUCGGGGCCCGCCGCAGGCGGUGACAGAUCCCUGCUCCCAAAUCCAAGCCCUUGUUCUUUCGCGAGGUACUCCCGUGGAGCCCGACGUGAGCUCGUCCCCUCCCCGGUUUGCUCUGUGAGGGACUUCUUGACUCCCCAGGUCCUCGGUGCUAUUUCUUCUAAGAGAAGCUGAAUUUCUAACACACAGGGUUCAGGAGGACAACAUUCUGCAUGUGUACAAAUGGUCACCAGAUAAUCUCCACAAGUUACUGAAGAUGCCCUCUGACUCCUGGCUUUUCAUCAGCAAGAGACAUGGUGGAGUGAGUGAUAAACGAGUACUGCAUGUUGAUCUUUAUUAUCUUUGAAGAAUACAUCCUCGAGGAGCCUGCUAGAAAGGAACGCACUUACUUCUAAAGACAGCCGCCUAGGAGCAUGCAGAUCGCACCUGGAACCUGAACAGUGGUGUACUCAAAGCUGCCACACGUUACAAUUUCUAUAACAUUUUAAUCAAAGCGCUCUUUCCGUCAUUUCAAAAUCAGAUGGUAAGUGAGGAAUUGAGCAUCAGAGAAGAAGCAAGCAAAAAGUUCUUUUCCCAGGCUUGAAAAGAAAAGAAAUAAGAGCACAGAAAGGAAAUAAAGAGAACCCCAAACUAUUAUUAAAGUCUCAUGAUUGUAUAUAUUUUUUUAAUUGCCAGUCUCAUGACUUUCUGGGAACUGAUUUAUUGAAAGCCUUGGUUUGGCAAUUCUGUGCUUGGCUAGCUUGGCCUUUGCCCAAGUCCCCUUUUUUUCUUGGCAG